GACGAACGCUGGCGGCGUGCUUAACACAUGCAAGUCGAACGGAAAGGCCCUGCUUUUGUGGGGUGCUCGAGUGGCGAACGGGUGAGUAACACGUGUGUAACCUGCCCUUGACUUUGGGAUAACUUAAGGAAACUGGGGCUAAUACCGGAUAGGAGCUCCUGCUGCGUUGUGGGCGGUGGAAAGUUUCGGCGGUUGGGGAUGGAUUGGCGGCUAAUCAGCUUGUUGGUUGGGUAGUGGAUUACCAAGCCAUUGCAGGAUAGGCGGCACGAGAGGGUGGACAGGGUCCAGAGGCCUACGGUAGGCCGCAGUCUCCAAUGGGGGGCAACAGGGGGAAACAUGACACAGCGAGAGGAAGCGUGAUACAGCAACGCCGCGUGCGGAAUGACGGCCUUCGGGGUGUAAACCGCUGUCGCCUGUGACGAAGCGUGAGUGACGGUAAUGAGUAAAGAAGCACCGGCUAACUACGUG
rnacentral:rRNA from 1 species